rnacentral:lncRNA from 1 species
CCCAUUCUGAGCCCAUGCUAUUGGUGCAGCAAUUUCACCACCAUGAGAUGAAGGGAAAAAGGGCAGCAAACUGAAACCAGUAAAAGAACAAAACGAAUUGGGCAUGGGAAAUGUGUGUUAUGAAACCAAGGCCCAGAAAAGACGUACUCCAAUCCUCUACAUAUUCGCAUAGAAUUACAUACCCUAGCAAAAGAGAGAAAAAAGAGAGACUGACUGGCGACAUAAGAAAGAAGAUUUUGCAGUGUUGAAUUUAGGCAUCAAGUUGUAGUUUCUGCUUUUGCUUUUAGAUUAUAGGGCUGCAGUCCAAUGCAGAAAGUGAGCAGCUAUCGCCAGAAUUAACAGGAAAGAGAGCCCAAUAUCAUUGUCACGUACGAUAUCGACGUUAGCAAAUUGUUGCUGGAUGUAUGUACUCUUAGGCCACUUGAUGCAACAGAAUAAGGUGCACUCCAGCCCAUUCUCU